rnacentral:rRNA from 1 species
UUACACAUGCAAGUCGAACGGCAGCACGGGUGCUUGCACCUGGUGGCGAGUGGCGAACGGGUGAGUAAUACAUCGGAACAUGUCCUGUAGUGGGGGAUAGCCCGGCGAAAGCCGGAUUAAUACCGCAUACGAUCUACGGAUGAAAGCGGGGGACCUUCGGGCCUCGCGCUAUAGGGUUGGCCGAUGGCUGAUUAGCUAGUUGGUGGGGUAAAGGCCUACCAAGGCGACGAUCAGUAGCUGGUCUGAGAGGACGACCAGCCACACUGGGACUGAGACACGGCCCAGACUCCUACGGGAGGCAGCAGUGGGGAAUUUUGGACAAUGGGCGAAAGCCUGAUCCAGCAAUGCCGCGUGUGUGAAGAAGGCCUUCGGGUUGUAAAGCACUUUUGUCCGGAAAGAAAUCCUUGGUUCUAAUAUAGCCGGGGGAUGACGGUACCGGAAGAAUAAGCACCGGCUAACUACGUGCCAGCAGCCGCGGUAAUACGUAGGGUGCGAGCGUUAAUCGGAAUUACUGGGCGUAAAGCGUGCGCAGGCGGUUUGCUAAGACCGAUGUGAAAUCCCCGGGCUCAACCUGGGAACUGCAUUGGUGACUGGCAGGCUAGAGUAUGGCAGAGGGGGGUAGAAUUCCACGUGUAGCAGUGAAAUGCGUAGAGAUGUGGAGGAAUACCGAUGGCGAAGGCAGCCCCUGGGCCAAUACUGACGCUCAUGCACGAA